rnacentral:tRNA from 1 species
GGGGGUGUGGCGGAACUGGCAGACGCAGGGGACUUAAAAUCCCCGGCCCGAAAGGGCGUGAGGGUUCGAGUCCCUCCACCCCCA